rnacentral:rRNA from 1 species
CAGCCGCCACGGGAAUACGAAGGGGGCUAGCGUUGUUCGGAAUCACUGGGCGUAAAGCGCACGUAGGCGGAUUUUUAAGUCAGGGGUGAAAUCCCGAGGCUCAACCUCGGAACUGCCUUUGAUACUGGAGAUCUUGAGUUCGGAAGAGGUUGGUGGAACAGCUAGUGUAGAGGUGAAAUUCGUAGAUAUUAGCUAGAACACCAGUGGCGAAGGCGGCCAACUGGUCCGACACUGACGCUGAGGUGCGAAAGCGUGGGGAGCAAACAGGAUUAGAUACCCCCGUAGUCCCUGUCUCUUAUAC